NNNNNNNNNNNNNNNNNNNNNNNNNNNNNNNNNNNNNNNNNNNNNNNNNNNNNNNNNNNNNNNNNNGGACUGCGGCGCAGGCCCACGCGCCUCUUCCUCCCCUCGCUGGGCUCUGCCGAAUUCUGACAGCCCGCAGACUAAGUGCCGCGGGGAGACCUAUGGGCCCCGCAGGGGUGACAUCACCUGCCACCCCAGGAUCUCUAAGCGCAGUUUCUGGGGCCGGUGCCGCCGUCAGGCCCCUCCCCUAGGCAAGCCUGGGGGGCGGCGCGGACCUGGUUAAGGAAAGCCUUGGCCGCUGGGACACUCCUUCCAAACCUUAAUAACCUCAUCUGUUUAAACACCCUUGACCUAAACGCAGGCCGUUCUGCCUAACACACCAGAGGGCAGGGGCUGGAGAAAGGCAGGGGGCUGGGGGUCGACGAGGGUCAGUGGAGGACACACUGGAGACAGGAGAGGCUCCAGGGUCUUCACUGGGUUCCCCAGGAGACUUCCUUGGGGACCUACAGUUGCAGCCCAGGAGGCAUACCUUGCACACAUAAUCACAUACAAGUUGAGAGAAGUCUGGGGGCAAGGUAGCUUUGUGAAUAGAACCUUUAGAAAUGAAAUUCCUGGUUAAGAUCUCCCAAGAGCAGUGAAGAGUCUGUUGAGGGGGCUUUAGGCCCAUCUCCUGGGACCCAAGGCAACUUUGCUGCAGAUUUGGUCCUAUAGGCCUCCUCUGGCCAAAGGACUCUGAAGGGCCAGGGAGGGAGGGGAGGAAAGAGAGGGUGGGCAAGGGCAGGGGGCACUGAAGCUCCUCUUCUGAACCCAAGAGAACGGAAACUCCAUGGUACUCAGCUCUCCUUGGACCCACCCACAUGGCGGCAGGGCUCUGCAUCCUUCCAAACAACCACAGAUCCAGUUCUUCUUGAGGGGAGGAGCAGACCCUCGCCCACAAUGCUGAAAGGAAGCAUGCAACCAGCCCCAGCUGGGGGUAGAGGCCUCCAACUCACAGCAGGUGUGCUGCUCACUGCCUUCCCAGCAACCGACUCUUGCUUCUACCAGCCACUUAGCCAGAUGGAAAAAGAAAGGGUAAUGCUGUUCUCCUCACUUAGCAACCCAGCUCCACUGUGCAGAAGAGGAAGGCCAGGAAGUCCCUGCUUCCUUGAUCACCCAGAGGUCACUGCUGGUGAAAAGGAUGUCCAUGCACCUUUCCCCAUGCUGGGGCUGGCAGGGGGCACCAGUGUGCAUAGGCUGGAGGUACAGGUGAGGGUGGAGGGCCUCUGCAUUCCAAUUAAAAAACAAAAACAAAAACCGGACUAUGAUAGCCAAAAAAACAAGACUUUGUACCGUUCCUGCCAGAUCCGCUCUUUAAAAGCUGGAACUGCAUUUUCCCUCCCCACUGGGGUAUCCAAAGCACUCCGCCCAGUAGAUGACUGUGGCUCAGGCAGACUCUAA
rnacentral:lncRNA from 1 species